rnacentral:rRNA from 1 species
UACAGAGGGUGCGAGCGUUAAUCGGAAUUACUGGGCGUAAAGCGCGCGUAGGCGGCUUUGCAAGUCGGGUGUGAAAUCCCCGGGCUCAACCUGGGAACUGCAUUUGUGACUGCACAGCUUGAGUGCGGCAGAGGGGGAUGGAAUUCCGCGUGUAGCAGUGAAAUGCGUAGAUAUGCGGAGGAACACCGAUGGCGAAGGCAAUCCCCUGGGCCUGCACUGACGCUCAUGCACGAAAGCGUGGGGAGCAAACAGG